ACCAAACCAAAUGACUGUUCUAGAUUCGAAAAGUCUCUCUGAUCAAGAGAUAAUCGAUUUCUUUUCUGAAAUAAAAAUGCACUUCAAUAGGGCAAUUAAAGAUGAAAAGGAGAAAGCAUUUUUCAUUUUUGUAUCGGAUUUCUGCUGUCAGGAUUUAAUCAACAAACGUGGUAAUCCCAUUACGAAUAGAAAAGAAAAACGUGACGAAAAUGAUAAUUAAAUUAUGGAUGUUAGAAGGUGCAAAAUCGAUAUGAAUGGAAGAUUAAGUGAAGGGGAGUUGCCAAUACCUCUUAUAUUCCAUAGAAUUCCACCUAUCAUGAGGAAACAUGUCGAGGAGGAGAUUGAGAAGGCUUAUUGUGAGACCUCAAAUGCAUUGUUGUUCCAGCACCAACAGUAGUAGCUGAUUUCUUUUUCUGCUUUCCUU
rnacentral:lncRNA from 1 species